UUAACCGGAAUUACUGGGCGUAAAGCGUGCGCAGGCGGUUGUGCAAGUCAGAUGUGAAAUCCCUGGGCUUAACCUAGGAAUUGCAUUUGUGACUGCACGGCUAGAGUGUGUCAGAGGGGGGUAGAAUUCCAUGUGUAGCAGUGAAAUGCGUAGAUAUGUGGAGGAAUACCGAUGGCGAAGGCAGCCCCCUGGGAUAACACUGACGCUCAUGCACGAAAGCGUGGGGAGCAAACAGG
rnacentral:rRNA from 1 species